rnacentral:rRNA from 1 species
AAGCGUGCGCAGGCGGUUUUGUAAGUCAGAUGUGAAAUCCCCGAGCUCAACUUGGGAACUGCGUUUGAAACUACAAGACUAGAAUAUGUCAGAGGGGGGUAGAAUUCCACGUGUAGCAGUGAAAUGCGUAGAGAUGUGGAGGAAUACCAAUGGCGAAGGCAGCCCCCUGGGAUAAUAUUGACGCUCAUGCACGAAAGCGUGGGGAGCAAACAGGAUUAGAUACCCUGGUAGUCCACGCCCUAAACGAUGUCUACUAGUUGUUGGUGGAGUAAAAUCCAUGAGUAACGCAGCUAACGCGUGAAGUAGACCGCCUGGGGAGUACGGUCGCAAGAUUAAAACUCAAAUGAAUUGACGGGGGCCCGCACAAGCGGUGGAUUAUGUGGAUUAAUUCGAUGCAACGCGAAAAACCUUACCUGGCCUUGACAUGUAACGAACUUUCCAGAGAUGGAUUGGUGCUCGAAAGAGAGCGUUAACACAGGUGCUGCAUGGCUGUCGUCAGCUCGUGUCGUGAGAUGUUGGGUUAAGUCCCGCAACGAGCGCAACCCUUGCCAUUAAUUGCCAUCAUUUAGUUGGGCACUUUAAUGGGACUGCCGGUGACAAACCGGAGGAAGGUGGGGAUGACGUCAAGUCCUCAUGGCCCUUAUGGCCAGGGCUUCACACGUAAUACAAUGGUCGGUACAGAGGGUUGCCAAGCCGCGAGGUGGAGCCAAUCCCAGAAAGCCGAUCGUAGUCCGGAUUGUAGUCUGCAACUCGACUACAUGAAGUCGGAAUCGCUAGUAAUCGCGGAUCAGCAUGUCGCGGUGAAUACGUUCCCGGGGCCUUGUACACACCGCCCGUCACACCAUGGGAGUGGGUUUUACCAGAAGUAGGUAGUCUAACCCUUCGGGAGGACGCUUACCACGGUAGUAUUCAUGACUGGGGGUGAAGUCGUAACAAGGUAA